UUAAGAUUAACCUGUAAAUUAUCUUUUGGAUGCCAGAGGGUGAAAGGUUUUAUGCUUAGCUGUUUACUUGCACAAUCUUUUUAUCUGUGCGGAAGAAAACAAGCGUAUUCUACUCUGGCUAUUUCAAUACUGACUACGAUGUUGAUCCCCCUUUCAGUCUUACUGUUUAUUUGCAUCAAAGGUACGAUGCUUUGUUCUUGAAAUCUUUCUCACUAUUUAUUGACUUUAUGCAACAUUCUCAUGAACAUUUUAUCCAUCUACGGUGAAAUUAGCAAGGGCGAAGCCGUUGUAGCUGAUGCUACGAUCAAGUUGCAAUUCAUAGGGUUAUGCUAUAUUUGAAAACUCGCUGCAUCAAUCAGCUACUAUGAAGUUGCAUCUUACUACGAGAAGAAUGGGACGAACAGGAAUCAAAAUCUGUUGAAGAAAUGGAGGGUGAGAAGAGGAAGAAGAAUGAUUUAAAAGAUUUAUUGACUCUGAAGGUACAAUGGAGAAAUGAAUUCCAUAAGAAUAUCUGCAGGAAGCUAAAACUCACAUGAAUUUCCGUCAAGAUUCUUGGUGUGGUAUCUAUUAUCCAUGAUAGAGGCAUCUGUUGAAGAAAACAUUAAGUCCAUACAACUUGCUGUUCAAAUUGAUCAACCAUAUAUUGGCCUUCUUCUUCGUUUUCAAAUUGCAUCCUACACAGAAUGCCAGGAAUUUGAACAUGCUUUGUAUCAUUUUCCUCCCCUAAUAAUUUAUGUUAAUACAGUUUAGACAGUCUCUUCAAUCCACUGUUUUGAAAAUUC